UAGGGAAUCUUCCACAAUGGACGAAAGUCUGAUGGAGCAACGCCGCGUGAGUGAAGAAGGUUUUCGGAUCGUAAAGCUCUGUUGUUGGUGAAGAAGGAUAGAGGCAGUAACUGGUCUUUAUUUGACGGUAAUCAACCAGAAAGUCACGGCUAACUACGUGCCAGCAGCCGCGGUAAUACGUAGGUGGCAAGCGUUGUCCGGAUUUAUUGGGCGUAAAGCGAGCGCAGGCGGAAUGAUAAGUCUGAUGUGAAAGCCCACGGCUCAACCGUGGAACUGCAUCGGAAACUGUCAUUCUUGAGUGCAGAAGAGGAGAGUGGAAACUCCAUGUGUAGCGGUGGAAUGCGUAGAUAUAUGGAAGAACACCAGUGGCGAAGGCGGCUCUCUGGUCUGCAACUGACGCUGAGGCUCGAAAAGCAUGGGUAGCGAACAGGAUUAGAUACCCUGGUAGUCCAUGCCGUAAAACGAUGAGCGCUAGGUGUUGGGGACUUUCCGGUUCUCAGUGCCGCAGCAAAACGCAUUAAGCGCUCCGCCUGGGGAGUACGACCGCA
rnacentral:rRNA from 1 species